CAGUAGCCGCGGUAAUACGUAGGGUGCAAGCGUUAAUCGGAAUUACUGGGCGUAAAGCGUGCGCAGGCGGUGUUGUAAGACUGAUGUGAAAUCCCCGGGCUCAACCUGGGAACUGCAUUGGUGACUGCAACGCUGGAGUGCGGCAGAGGGGGAUGGAAUUCCGCGUGUAGCAGUGAAAUGCGUAGAUAUGCGGAGGAACACCGAUGGCGAAGGCAAUCCCCUGGGCCUGCACUGACGCUCAUGCACGAAAGCGUGGGGAGCAAACAGGAUUAGAUACCCUGGUAGUCCCUGUCUCUUAUAC
rnacentral:rRNA from 1 species